AUACUCCGUGUCGUAUGUGGUGAACAACCCUGUAUAUAAAAUUCUAAAACAGUUAUAUUUUUAGUGUUUUUAAUAGUGGAAAUAUUGCAAAAAAAGUGAAGGCUGCCCAAACAUUGCUAAGACUGAGGUUUCGUGCUUUCAUCUUCACAACUUACAAGCCAAGUAUGUACCCCAGGUCAAAUUUGGGGAUCAACUGGUAAAAUACAACUCUCACCCAAAAUACUUAGGAGUCACAUUGGAUCGGUCUUUCACGUUCAAGCCACACCUCACUCAAUAUACACCUCUAUACACCUCACAAUAAUAUACUGCACAAGAUCGCAGGUAGCAGCUGGGGAGCAAACGCCAGGGUACUUAAAACACAACUGCAAUGGCCCUCACAUAUUCGGUGGCAGAAUAUUGCUGUCCUGUCUGGAUAAAUAGCAAUCAUACUCAUCUUAUUGACAUUAUAACGGGCACUAUCAGAAGCAUUCCGAUCCAAUGGCUCCCUGUAUUAUCAAACAUUACUCCCCCUCAUUUGAGAAAACAGGCGGCCCUAGUCAGAGAGUGGAAAAAGUACACCAGCAAUGUUCAUCUGCCCAUUCAUGAUGAUUGAGAAAAUUUCUUGAAUCGUCUGAAGUCCAGAAAACCGCCAUGGGUAUUAGCUACUAAAUUCCAACUUUCGGGUUGAAGACUGCUGGCGAAAUGAAUGUUCACAAAAUAAUCCUGACCUUCAUCACUUGAUAACUGACCCAGUACUCUGCCCUCUGGGAUUCAAUUUGCCAAGAAAAACGUCGACAACACUCAAUCGGUUCAAAACUAACCAUGGCAGAACCCGCUUCUGGACACACAAAUGGGGACUAACCGACAGCCCUAACUGCGAUUGCGGACAUUCCGAACAUACACCUUUUCAUAUCGCAACAGAGUGCCCAUUAACAAAGGCGCAGUUCUCUUUAAAUCGUCUUCAUGAGGCUGACCAGGAUGCUAUAGAAUGGAUCGCAGAGCUAAAUCUUGUAGUGUAAAUUUAUAGUUGUUCGUUUUUACUGGUUUUUACUGUAACUUUGUGAUAUGUCUCUUACACAUCUAAUUGUUGAUUUUUGAAUUGUUUGGAUUAUUGUAUUGAUUUCUUUUUUUUUCUUGAUAUCAUGUGUACUCUUAAUAUGCCAUACGAAAUAUAUAUGCCAAAAAAGUAAACCUACAGUGAACCUGCCACAAAGUUCCAGACAAUAGUUGACUCGCACAUUUGUGAUCUUUGAACGAAACCAACAUUUUUUUUUAAACAACUUAGUUUUCAAUAAUAUCAUAAAUUAAUAUUUUACAUUACUACAACCAGGUCUAAAGUAGUUUCAAACAAUGAUUCAUCCCCCUCAUCUAAAAUUCAGUCAAUAAACCUAUUUUUAAUCCAUUUUUAUACAAUAACUGGAAUUACAUUUUAAUUUGUUGCUCUCAGGAUUAAAUAGCAACAGGAUUAAAACUUAAUUUCAUUUUUAAUUCAAUUCAAAUAGGCUAAAACUAAUUCAAUAUAAAUCAAUAAUUAAAAAAUCCCACAAGAUACGGACUUUAACUCUGAUACUCUAUGUGUAUAUUCCUAUAUUUGCUUGGUUGUUUGUUCAACUACGUUUCUAUAGAGGUCGCCACCGAUAUCUUAAUUGAGUUAUUAUAAAAAUAUAAUUAACUGAUUAUUGUUUUUAUCACCCGUUUUAAUUAUAAAAUUACUUGUUGCUAAGCUUUAAGGCUAUGUACUGACAAAUAUAAGUUGUCUCUUCGCCUAUUCUGUGUGAUCUGAGUGACCGAACAAGGGGGAGAUAAUCAGUGAUGUGGUGUUGAACAACAGUAAAAAGAUAUUAUAUUUUCCACACGUGAAUUUUGAAUCCAAUGGUUUUUACACAAAAUGUUAGUGAAAUAGAAGAAGGAUGACCACCCUGUAGUAUAUACAACUAUAAACUUGUUAGUGAUAUCAGUGUUAGUUUGUUCUUCAAAUUGGAAAAAAAAUCUUUUUUAUUAGUUUCGUGUUACACAAAUAUUGAUAUUUUGUAACCUUUAUUUGUUUGAUAAAAUGUAUAUUUGAUCGGUAUUAUCGAACAAUAAUUAUAAUUUAUUUGUUAAUUAACCUAUUUACACUGUUAACACAGAAUUCUAUUUUUGAACUGUAAAAGGUAUAUAGUUCAAUUAUCUUAUACUAAUAAUAUAAUUUUAAUUUCUUUGUUUUAUCCGAUAGGGAAGUUGGCAGAUAUACCCUUUUAAACAUCAAAUAUUUUAAGCUACUGUAAAUUACUUUGAAAUAUGUCUCCUUGGACUUUGAACCCAGUGGCUUUUUGACAUAAAAAAUCUGAUUUUGAUCAUUAGGUUCAUGUUUUGUUUGCAAAAGACAAUUCUAUAGAAGGCAACUAUAAUAAAUUCAUCAAAAAAUACAGAGAGUAUAAUAAACAAUCAGUAGUAAAUAUAUAACUUUAGAACCAAGUGGCUUUUACGCAAAAAUAAAUAUGGCAAUAUUGACAGAAAAGUGAAUUACAAUGAUUCAGUCACAAAGUUCCAACCACACUUAACCUCCAUUCUGAUAAAAUGCGAAAACUUAUUAAUAAUUUCUUAUAUUAGUGGCAAUAUUGACAAACAGAGGAAACUAAACCAAAUGAAUCAGAGAAAUGAAUAAAUGAAUAUCUGAACCCAAUGGCUUCUCAUAUAAAAUAGGAUAACUAUCUUAAUUUUAACGUUUAUAUUAUUGGCAAUAUUGUAAUUGGCAAUAGGCAAUAUAUUAACUUCCAGACAGUAUACUUGAUUUUGUGAACUUUGAACACAAUGCCUUUUCAUUCUUAUAAAAUAGAAAAACUAUUUUAUUUUUAAGCAUUUGUAUUAGUGGUAAUAUUGCCAGAAAAUAAAACUAGAUUGAACCUGCCACAAAGCAACACACAACUUUUAAUAUAAA
rnacentral:lncRNA from 1 species